rnacentral:rRNA from 1 species
UACGGAGGGGGCUAGCGUUGUUCGGAAUUACUGGGCGUAAAGCGCACGUAGGCGGCUUUGUAAGUUAGAGGUGAAAGCCCGGGGCUCAACUCCGGAAUUGCCUUUAAGACUGCAUCGCUAGAAUUGUGGAGAGGUAAGUGGAAUUCCGAGUGUAGAGGUGAAAUUCGUAGAUAUUCGGAAGAACACCAGUGGCGAAGGCGACAUACUGGGUCAUGACUGACGCUGAGGCUCGAAAGCGUGGGGAGCAAACAGG